rnacentral:snRNA from 1 species
GUGAAGAAAUUCAACCAAGCGC